UGGUGGAGUGAUUUGUCUGGUUAAUUCCGUUAACGAACGAGACCUCAGCCUGCUAACUAGUCGUGGUGCCAAUGUGGACAAGGGCUGUUGGCGAGGGGGGCCCUUCUGGGUUCCUUUCGUCGGUGGCUCUAGAUUGGGCCGACUUCUUAGAGGGACUGUCGGUGUUUAGCUGUACGGAAGUUUGAGGCAAUAACA
rnacentral:rRNA from 1 species